UAGCUAGUUGGUGAGGUAACGGCUUACCAAGGCGACGAUCUGUAGCGGGUCUGAGAGGAUGAUCCGCCACACUGGAACUGAGACACGGUCCAGACUCCUACGGGAGGCAGCAGUGGGGAAUUUUGGACAAUGGGGGCAACCCUGAUCCAGCCAUGCCGCGUGAGUGAAGAAGGCCUUCGGGUUGUAAAGCUCUUUCGGCCGGGAAGAAAUCGCAUGGGCCAAUACCCUGUGUGGAUGACGGUACCGGAAUAAGAAGCACCGGCUAACUACGUGCCAGCGGCCGCGGUAAUACGUAGGGUGCGAGCGUUAAUCGGAAUUACUGGGCGUAAAGCGUGCGCAGGCGGUUUUGUAAGACAGGCGUGAAAUCCCCGGGCUCAACCUGGGAACUGCGUUUGUGACUGCAAGGCUAGAGUACGGCAGAGGGGGGUGGAAUUCCACGUGUAGCAGUGAAAUGCGUAGAGAUGUGGAGGAACACCAAUGGCGAAGGCAGCCCCCUGGGUCGAUAUUGACGCUCAUGCACGAAAGCGUGGGUAGCAAACAGGAUUAGAUACCCUGGUAGUCCACGCCCUAAACUAUGUCAACUAGGUGUUGGGUGGGUAAAACCAUUUAGUACCGUAGCUAACGCGUGAAGUUGACCGCCUGGGGAGUACGGCCGCAAGGUUAAAACUCAAAGGAAUUGACGGGGACCCGCACAAGCGGUGGAUGAUGUGGAUUAAUUCGAUGCAACGCGAAAAACCUUACCUACCCUUGACAUGCCAGGAACUUGCCAGAGAUGGCUUGGUGCCCGAAAGGGAGCCUGGACACAGGUGCUGCAUGGCUGUCGUCAGCUCGUGUCGUGAGAUGUUGGGUUAAGUCCCGCAACGAGCGCAACCCUUGUCGUUAAUUGCCAUCAUUUAGUUGGGCACUUUAGCGAGACUGCCGGUGACAAACCGGAGGAAGGUGGGGAUGACGUCAAGUCCUCAUGGCCCUUAUGGGUAGGGCUUCACACGUCAUACAAUGGUCGGUACAAAGGGUCGCCAAGCCGCGAGGUGGAGCCAAUCCCAGAAAGCCGAUCGUAGUCCGGAUUGCAGGCUGCAACUCGCCUGCAUGAAGUCGGAAUCGCUAGUAAUCGUGGAUCAGCAUGUCACGGUGAAUACGUUCCCGGGUCUUGUACACACCGCCCGUCACACCAUGGGAGCGGGUUCCGCCAGAAGUAGGUAGCCUCACCGCAAGGAGGGCGCUUACCACGGCGGGGUUCGUGACUGGGGUGAAGUCGUAACAAGGUAGCCGUAGGGGAACCUGCGGCUG
rnacentral:rRNA from 1 species